GCAAAGGAAUGAACAAGGCCAUGCGAGUCAUUGUAGCAAUACAAGGCAGACGGCUCAGUAACGCGUAGUCAAUCUACCCUAUGGACGGGAAUAACCUCGGGAAACUGAGAAUAAUGCCCGAUAGAACAUUAUACCUGGAACGGUUUAUGUUUCAAAUGAUUUAUCGCCGUAGGAUGGGACUGCGGCCUAUCAGUUUGUUGGUGAGGUAAUGGCCCACCAAGACUAUUACAGGUACGGGCUCUGAGAGGAGUAGCCCGGAGAUGGGUACUGAGACACGGACCCAGGCCCUAUGGGGCGCAGCAGGCGAGAAAACUUUGCAAUGUGCGAAAGCACGACAAGGUUAAUCCGAGUGGUUUCUGCUAAAGAAACCUUUUGCCAGUCCUAGAAACACUGGUGAAUAAGGGGUGGGCAAGUUCUGGUGUCAGCCGCCGCGGUAAAACCAGCACCUCAAGUGGUCAGGAUGAUUAUUGGGCCUAAAGCAUCCGUAGCCUGCUUUGUAAGUUUUCGGUUAAAUCCAUACGCUCAACGUAUGGGCUGCCGGGAAUACUGCAUAACUAGGAAGUGGGAGAGGUAGACGGUACUCGGUAGGAAGGGGUAAAAUCCUUUGAUCUAUUGAUGACCACCUGUGGCGAAGGCGGUCUACCAGAACACGUUCGACGGUGAGGGAUGAAAGCUGGGGGAGCAAACCGGAUUAGAUACCCGGGUAGUCCCAGCUGUAAACUAUGCAAACUCAGUGAUGCAUUGGCUUGUGGCCAAUGCAGUGCUGCAGGGAAGCCGUUAAGUUUGCCGCCUGGGAAGUACGUACGCAAGUAUGAAACUUAAAGGAAUUGGCGGGGGAGCACCACAAGGGGUGAAGCCUGCGGUUCAAUUGGAUUCAACGCCGGG
rnacentral:rRNA from 1 species